CAGCAGCCACGGGAAUACGUAGGGUGCGAGCGUUAAUCGGAAUUACUGGGCGUAAAGCGUGCGCAGGCGGUUUUGUAAGACAGGCGUGAAAUCCCCGGGCUCAACCUGGGAAUGGCGCUUGUGACUGCAAAGCUAGAGUGCGGCAGAGGGGGAUGGAAUUCCGCGUGUAGCAGUGAAAUGCGUAGAUAUGCGGAGGAACGCCGAUGGCGAAGGCAAUCCCCUGGGCCUGCACUGACGCUCAUGCACGAAAGCGUGGGGAGCAAACAGGAUUAGAUACCCCCGUAGUCCCUGUCUCUUAUAC
rnacentral:rRNA from 1 species